rnacentral:rRNA from 1 species
CCUACGGGAGGCAGCAGUGAGGAAUAUUGGUCAAUGGACGCAAGUCUGAACCAGCCAAGCCGCGUGCAGGAAGACGGCUCUAUGAGUUGUAAACUGCUUUUGUACGAGGGUAAACGCAGAUACGCGUACCUGUCUGAAAGUAUCGUAAGAAUAAGGAUCGGCUAACUCCGUGCCAGCAGCCGCGGUAAUACGGAGGAUUCAAGCGUUAUCCGGAUUUAUUGGGUUUAAAGGGUGCGUAGGCGGGCGGAUAAGUUAGCGGUGAAAUCCCGAGGCUCAACUUCGGAAUUGCCGCUGAUACUGGUGGGCUAGAGAUGAGUAGCGGUAGGCGGAAUGUGUGGUGUAGCGGUGAAAUGCUUAGAGAUCAUACAGAACACCGAUUGCGAAGGCAGCUUACCAAGCUACUUCUGACGUUGAGGCACGAAAGCGUGGGUAGCAAACAGGAUUAGAUACCCUAGUAGUC